rnacentral:lncRNA from 1 species
GAUGGUCACUUUUGUGAUUAUUUCCUGUUGUGUAUUUGUAAGAAAGCAGUGAUACGAAGAAAACAAAAAGAGAAAAUCAUGUCAUCUGAGAUUCAAAGAGAAAGAUAGUAACAUGUAAGUUGUAACUUUAAAAAAUCUGAUAUAUAUAUAUACGAUUCAGAAUGACAAAUACAAUAUGAUUUUUUAAUCUGAGGGAUGUUGUUAAAAAUCAAAACAUAUAUUAAUUUCUAUCAUUUUAUAAUGCUGAUCUUGAAGUUUAUACGUUUCGGGCGAAAUAUUUUCUAGAUUUUAAAUCAUUUCAAUCCUAUUAAUUAUCAUGAAAUAUUUGCCACUGAACAUUAGUAUCUUCAAACAAAUGGUAAAUUAUAUAAAUCUAUAACCACAACAUGUAUGAUCAUUACUGAAGUUAAUGGAAUAAAAUUGUCUUAAGAUGUACCUUAUUCCGUAAUGUUUCAAAAAUGUGGUAUAAUGAUUUCUACUUCAUUAAAAUAUAAAUGAAUUUGUUAGUUUUAUUGUAUUUCUAAAUCGCAUGCAAACAGAUACGAUAUAUUUGUGAAACCUGAUCAUAUACACACUUGAAUGUGUAACAGUGUUUUUAUAUAUCAAAUAUAUAACUGUUCAUUAAUACACAUCUAAAUUAUUCUUUAUAUAUCAUGUAUAUUACGAAUAUAUAAAGUAUGAUACCGAAUUCUGAAAUAAUAGUAAUAAGGGUUUGUUAUACCCACAAAUCCGUCUAAUACUAAUGAAUUUCUGACCAUUAGACAAAUAACCAAUAUAAAAAAAAUGGUUAUUUAAGAUUUUAUUUUGUAUUAAAUAGUGUUUAAACUAUUUAGAAUAUACAUUAAUUUAUAUUACAUAUCUAGAAGGGAGAUUACGCACGCAUGCAUUAGACAAAUACGCAAUUCAAGUUUACUUAUAACUUUAUUACAGAGUCGGUUAGAAAAAAAACAUAGCUGUAAAGAGUCUUCGGAUAAGGAGAUAGAUGAUGCAGCUAAAGAUUGGCGGCGCUUAAGCCUUGACAGAGAAGGUGGCAAGAAACAGAGAAGGGAAAAAAAGAAUAACAUAUAUAAAUAAUAAUGACACUGUUGAAGUUCAAAUUGAGGAGGACACUACUCGUGGUGACGACCAAUGAUAUCAAAUUUAAAAUAAAUAAAGUUUCAUCUUCUGAAUUAUUUAAUUUUCAUUCUGGAUCUGGAACCAAUACAACUAAAAUUACAUCUCCGAAAAAACUAUUUGUAUGAUCGCCUAACCAUAAGCCAUACGUCAUUUGUUCUGUUAAAGAAAUAAAUGAAAUUGAUAUGAAAAAAGAAGAUGUGGUAUGAUUGCUAAUGAGACAACUCUUUACAAGACACCAAAUGACACAGAGUUUAUCUGGUCGAUCCAUCAAACAUUGCCAAAGAAAUAUCUUAGCGUCACACAAUAAAUAAAAUUAAAGAGGCAAAGUUCAUGAAAAAAACAAGGACAGUAACAACAAUGGGUAAUACAAAAAUACAGAAUUGCUACCUUAAACUUUGGCAGUUUGGAAUACAAAAAAAGAUCAAAUGCGCUC